CCUACGGGCGGCAGCAGUGAGGAAUAUUGGUCAAUGGGCGGGAGCCUGAACCAGCCAAGCCGCGUGAAGGAAGAAGGCGCCAAGCGUCGUAAACUUCUUUUGUCGGGGAACAAAGGGCGCCACGUGUGGCGUUGUGAGUGUACCCGAUGAAAAAGCAUCGGCUAACUCCGUGCCAGCAGCCGGGGUAAUACGGAGGAUGCGAGCGUUAUCCGGAUUUAUUGGGUUAAAGGGGGGAGAAGGCGGUCCGGAAAGUCCGCGGUAAAAGCCCGGGGCUCAACCCCGGAGAGCCGUUGAGACUGUCGAACUAGAGACGGCGAGAGGAAAGCGGAAUGCGCGGUGUAGCGGUGAAAUGCAUAGAUAUCGCGCAGAACUCCGAUUGCGAAGGCAGCGUACCGGCGCCGGACUGACGCUGAGGCACGAAAGCGUGGGUAUCGAACAGGAUUAGAUACCCCAGUAGUC
rnacentral:rRNA from 1 species